UACGUAGGGUGCAAGCGUUGUUCGGAAUUACUGGGCGUAAAGGGCUCGUAGGCGGCCAACUAAGUCAGACGUGAAAUCCCCAGGCUCAACCUGGGAACUGCGUCUGAUACUGGAUGGCUUGAAUUCGGGAGAGGGAUGCAGAAUUCCAGGUGUAGCGGUGAAAUGCGCAGAUAUCAGGAGGAACACCGGUGGCGAAGGCGGGUCUCUGGGCCGAUACUGACGCUGAGGAGCGAAAGCGUGGGGAGCGAACAGG
rnacentral:rRNA from 1 species